UGAAAGGUAGAAACUAAAAAGAAGGUUUUAUUGUAUAAAUUUGAAUUUAAAUUAAAAGUAAAAAUGCUUUUAUUAUUCCUUGGGACGAGAAGACCCUAGAAGCUUUAAAAUUUUAAUAUUUUUGAAUUGGGGUAAUUAUUGAAGAAAUAAAUUUUUAUAAAAUUAGAUUAAAAAUGUGUGAGAAGUUACUCUAGGGAUAACAGCAUUAUUUAAUUAACAAGUUCUUAUUAAUAAUUAAGUUUGUGACCUCGAUGUUGAAUUAAUUUUUAUUUUUGGUGAAGAAGUUAAAAGAGGGAGGUCUGUUCGACCUUUAAAAUAUUACAUGAUUUGAGUUCAAACCGGUUUAAUCCAGGUCG
rnacentral:rRNA from 1 species